UGGGGGAUAUUGCACAAUGGGCGAAAGCCUGAUGCAGCGACGCCGCGUGGGGGAUGAAGGCUUUCGGGUUGUAAACCUCUUUCGCUAUCGAACAAGGCCCGCUUAGGGUGGGUUGAGGGUAGGUGGAGAAGAAGCGCCGGCUAACUACGUGCCAGCAGCCGCGGUAAUACGUAGGGCGCGAGCGUUGUCCGGAAUUAUUGGGCGUAAAGGGCUUGUAGGCGGCUUGUUGCGCCUGCUGUGAAAACGCGGGGCUUAACUUCGCGCGUGCAGUGGGUACGGGCAGGCUUGAGUGGGGUAGGGGUGACUGGAAUGCCAGGUGUAGCGGUGGAAUGCGCAGAUAUCUGGAGGAACACCGAUGGCGAAGGCAGGUCACUGGGCCAUUACUGACGCUGAGGAGCGAAAGCAUGGGUAGCGAACAGG
rnacentral:rRNA from 1 species